rnacentral:miRNA from 1 species
UGUAGUACUUUGUUUUUUGU